CCAGGAUCACUCCUAAUAGAUAUAAUUUUGAGAUUUUUCUUGUUUUGAAUCAUUUUUGCAAGUUUCCUGAAUGCUUGAAAUGCAUCAUUCUUAUGAGUGAUAAAUAGUGUCCAAGUGUAUCUAGAAUAAUCAUCAACUAUAACAAAAACUCAUGAUUCUAGAAGGGCCAAACAAAUCCAUGUGUAAUAAUUGUAAAGGUUGAGUAGUUG
rnacentral:lncRNA from 1 species